rnacentral:rRNA from 1 species
CUUAACGCGAAGAACCUUACCUACUCUUGACAUCCAGCGAACUUAGCAGAGAUGCUUUGGUGCCUUCGGGAACUCUGAGACAGGUGCUGCAUGGCUGUCGUCAGCUCGUGUUGUGAAAUGUUGGGUUAAGUCCCGCAACGAGCGCAACCCUUAUCCUUUGUUGCCAGCGGUUCGGCCGGGAACUCAAAGGAGACUGCCAGUGAUAAACUGGAGGAAGGUGGGGAUGACGUCAAGUCAUCAUGGCCCUUACGAGUAGGGCUACACACGUGCUACAAUGGCGUAUACAAAGAGAAGCGACCUCGCGAGAGCAAGCGGACCUCAUAAAGUACGUCGUAGUCCGGAUUGGAGUCUGCAACUCGACUCCAUGAAGUCGGAAUCGCUAGUAAUCGUAGAUCAGAAUGCUACGGUGAAUACGUUCCCGGGCCUUGUACACACCGAAG